AUUCCCCUUUGAAGCAGACAGGGAGACAGAGAGAGAGAGAGACACUUCUCACAGAAGUGGCUUCAGCCUGUAUCUGUCCAUUCUGAAGACGCGGAUGACAUUCUCUGCCAGGGGGCUUCCCCUGAGUGAAACCCUCAUACCCUUGGGCUUCAGGAGCCAGAAAGUCAGGUGAAGAAUGACUCACUCCAUUUGAUUACAUUUUGCAAGAAAUAUGCCAUAGGAACUGUUGUGGGGGGACCAUGGAACUGACAAUCAGCUGUCCAGAAGGCUGACUUCAUUACUGCCUUUGCCAAGACAAAGUCUCUUGACUUCUGGCUCUCACAGAAACCUGGAUCACUCC